CAGUAGCCGCGGUAAUACGAAGGGUGCAAGCGUUACUCGGAAUUACUGGGCGUAAAGCGUGCGUAGGUGGUGGUUUAAGUCCGUUGUGAAAGCCCUGGGCUCAACCUGGGAAUUGCAGUGGAUACUGGGUCACUAGAGUGUGGUAGAGGAUAGUGGAAUUUCCGGUGUAGCAGUGAAAUGCGUAGAGAUCGGAAGGAACAUCUGUGGCGAAGGCGACUAUCUGGGCCAACACUGACACUGAGGCACGAAAGCGUGGGGAGCAAACAGGAUUAGAUACCCGCGUAGUCCCUGUCUCUUAUAC
rnacentral:rRNA from 1 species